GCCGGGUGUGGUGGCUCACGCCUGUAAUCCCAACACUUUGGGAGGCCGAGGUGGGCGGAUCACCUGAGGUCGGGAGUUCGAGACCAGCCUGACCAACAUGGAGAAACCCCAUCUCUA
rfam:Macaca mulatta chromosome 3, whole genome shotgun sequence.